GGGUCCCUACGGGACGCAGCAGUGGGGAAUAUUGCACAAUGGGGGAAACCCUGAUGCAGCGACGCCGCGUGAAGGAAGAAGUAUCUCGGUAUGUAAACUUCUAUCAGCAGGGAAGAAAAUGACGGUACCUGACUAAGAAGUUCCGGCUAAAUACGUGCCAGCAGCCGCGGUAAUACGUAUGGAGCAAGCGUUAUCCGGAUUUACUGGGUGUAAAGGGAGCGCAGGCGGCAUGGCAAGUCAGAUGUGAAAGCCCGGGGCUCAACCCCGGGACGGCAUUUGAAACUGUCAGGCUGGAGUGCAGGAAG
rnacentral:rRNA from 1 species